rnacentral:misc_RNA from 1 species
UAGCAGAUGCUAUCCGUUCUUCUUCCCCUGGUCCUGAAAAAGCCACUGCUUCUGAAAAUGAGAACAAUUUCAUUGUGAUCAUACUCACAAGAUUAUUGGUCAGGCCUGAUGCUGCACCGCUUUUCUCAGAGUUGGUUCAUCUUUUUGGGCAGUCACUAGAAGAUUCAAUGUUAUUACAGGCUAAAUGGUUUUUGAGAGGCCAAGAUGUUCUUUUGGGACGAAAAA